GCCCUCUCGGUUUUCCCCUGCUCAUGUUUUCCCUCUCUCCCCCUCCUCCAUGCCCAGGCCCCCGCUGUGUCUGUAUUUUCCAAGCAGUGGCACCACCUGGUUUGUUUUCUGUGUCAGGUGACACCAUAAGGGGGCAAAGGCCACGGACUGCAGUGUGGGAGCUUCAUGCUGGACAUCAGGGAAACCUUUCUUCCUGGCAAGGACAAGACUGAAGCAAGUUGCUAGUGGAGAGGAAAGGAAGGAACUCUUUAUCCCUGGAAGUUUUUAAGACUCAGCUAGAAAUAGAUCAUCUCACACAUGGCUUUUCCUCAAUGGGCACUGGCACAAACCCAGAUGGCAGAGGUGCCAGCAGUCCGUUUUCCAGACAGAAACCUAGGAGUAGGAUAUUAACCUAAUGCCUUCAACAAGGCAAGAAGCAUUUUACACACCUGUUAUGGCUGUGGUCACCCUGGAUCUUUUCCUUGUCUCCUGAGAUAUGGAGCUGAGGUACAUGGCACAGACAACAUGCAGACUUUGGUGGGCCUCUAAC